rnacentral:lncRNA from 1 species
AGGGGGAUCCCCAAGAAGGGAUGGACCCAACAGUUAAUGCACUACUUGUUACUCUGCUACAUUUUUAUAUGGGCCUAAAAUCUAAUAAAACAAUUUUACAAUAAUUUUUUAAAACUUCCUAAAAGAAAAAAUUAUUCAAUGUCAGACCUUAUUAGCAUGUGCAUGUAUGCUUUCAACUUCACCCUACUCCUUUUUCUGUUGCAAAUAAACAGAGACAUCUAGAUUAUUUGUUCACAAUUUUAGCAAGAUUAAAAUAUAUUUGACAAUGAAAGACAACAAAUGCAUUAGUUUUAUAUAUACACAUAAACAUUUAAUUUCAUCAUAUUUUACACACAUACAUAAUGACCUGCACAGGAGAUGAUGUUUAACAACAAAAUAAAUAGAAAACAAUUCUAAAGUGUUAAGUUGAGAAAGAACUUAUCCUACAAGUGCUUUUAUGUUUAGAUAAUCAACAAUGAUUCUUUUGUUUAAAAACCAAACAUAAAAUAUCUUUGAAAGAAAAUUGAACCGUUGAUUUCAUGAUACAGAAGAAAAAAACUCAUUUUUUAGGUAAUUAUAUUUGCCCAAAUAAACUGAAAGAAUGGCAUACCUUGAUAUUGGUAACUAUGGUGCCACCAUCUUCCUUGGCAGCAUUUCCAAAGGCCAGAGACACUUAGCCCAUUCCAUCUUAAACACACCGAAACAUGUGUCAGUAACUAAUAUAUCAAUGAAGCAACAGCAGGUGGAAUAGCCGGACGAAAGGUGUUCGGCGGUGUUCAAUUCACUUCCAUCCCGUUAUCAGUCCUGAUUUUACGAACAUACACACAAUCACUAAAUGACUUCAAAUCAACAGAUGGUUCAAAUCAAUUACAUACCUGGAGCAAUAAUCCCUAAAUCGCUGGUUGCGGAUCGAUCGGAAGUCGAUGGUGAUAGACAAAAUUUAACCAACUGUGUAAUAGAUGGAGGGAAAAUUCAUCUAAUCGUCUAAAAAUAAAAUGAAAUUAAAAGUGAAUAUGAAGGUAAGGGCAUAGAAAGAAACGAAAAUAGGGUUGAAGUUCAUUACUGAACCGCUCGCAGGCAUG